rnacentral:rRNA from 1 species
CCUACGGGGGGCAGCAGUGAGGAAUAUUGGUCAAUGGCCGGAAGGCUGAACCAGCCAUGCCGCGUGAAGGUCAGUGCCCUAUGGGCGUUAAACUUCUUUUGUCCGGGAGCAAUCAUGGUCACGUGUGGCCAGACUAGAGUACCGUACGAAUAAGCAUCGGCUAACUCCGUGCCAGCAGCCGCCGUAAUACGGGGGAUGGAAGCGUUAGCCGGAUUUAUUGGGUUGAAAGGGGACGUAGGCUGUGAGGUAAGUCAGCGGUGGAAUGCCCCCGCGCAACGGGGUGAAGUGCCUUUGAUACUGCCUUGCUGGAGUGCGGAUGCCGUGGGAGGAAUGUGUGGUGGAGCGGUGAAAGGCAUAGAUAUCA